rnacentral:rRNA from 1 species
GAGAGGGUGAACGGCCACAUUGGGACUGAGACACGGCCCAAACUCCUACGGGAGGCAGCAGUGGGGAAUAUUGCACAAUGGGGGAAACCCUGAUGCAGCGACGCCGCGUGAGUGAAGAAGUAUCUCGGUACGUAAAGCUCUAUCAGCAGGGAAGAAAAUGACGGUACCUGAUUAAGAAGCCCCGGCUAACUACGUGCCAGCAGCCGCGGUAAUACGUAGGGGGCAAGCGUUAUCCGGAUUUACUGGGUGUAAAGGGAGCGUAGACGGCAGCGCAAGUCUGGAGUGAAAUGCCGGGGCCCAACCCCGGAACUGCUUUGGAAACUGUGCAGCUCGAGUGCAGGAGAGGUAAGCGGAAUUCCUAGUGUAGCGGUGAAAUGCGUAGAUAUUAGGAGGAACACCAGUGGCGAAGGCGGCUUACUGGACUGUAACUGACGUUGAGGCUCGAAAGCGUGGGGAGCAAACAGGAUUAGAUACCCUGGUAGUCCACGCCGUAAACGAUGAUUACUAGGUGUCGGGGGGCCAAGGCCCUCCGGUGCCGCCGCAAACG